CAGAGGUCUCAACCGUUGUUCGGAUUCAUUGGGCGUAAAGGGUGCGUAGGCGGCGGAGUAAGUCGGGUGUGAAAUCUCGGGGCUCAACCCCGAAACUGCACUUGAUACUGCUUCGCUCGAGUACUGGAGAGGAGACUGGAAUUUACGGUGUAGCAGUGAAAUGCGUAGAUAUCGUAAGGAAGACCAGUGGCGAAGGCGAGUCUCUGGACAGUUACUGACGCUGAGGCACGAAGGCCAGGGGAGCAAACGGGAUUAGAUACCCCGGUAGUCCUGGCAGUAAACGGUGCACGUUUGGUGUGGGAGGAUUCGACCCCUUCCGUGCCGGAGCUAACGCGUUAAACGUGCCGCCUGGGAAGUACGGUCGCAAGAUUA
rnacentral:rRNA from 1 species